rnacentral:rRNA from 1 species
GGGUUGUGAGGUUAAGCGACUAAGCGUACACGGUGGAUGCCCUGGCAGUCAGAGGCGAUGAAGGACGUGCUAAUCUGCGAUAAGCGUCGGUAAGGUGAUAUGAACCGUUAUAACCGGCGAUUUCCGAAUGGGGAAACCCAGUGUGUUUCGACACACUAUCAUUAACUGAAUCCAUAGGUUAAUGAGGCGAACCGGGGGAACUGAAACAUCUAAGUACCCCGAGGAAAAGAAAUCAACCGAGAUUCCCCCAGUAGCGGCGAGCGAACGGGGAGCAGCCCAGAGCCUGAAUCAGUGUGUGUGUUAGUGGAAGCGUCUGGAAAGGCGCGCGAUACAGGGUGACAGCCCCGUACACAAAAAUGCACAUACUGUGAGCUCGAUGAGUAGGGCGGGACACGUGGUAUCCUGUCUGAAUAUGGGGGGACCAUCCUCCAAGGCUAAAUACUCCUGACUGACCGAUAGUGAACCAGUACCGUGAGGGAAAGGCGAAAAGAACCCCGGCGAGGGGAGUGAAAAAGAACCUGAAACCGUGUACGUACAAGCAGUGGGAGCCUCUUUUAUGGGGUGACUGCGUACCUUUUGUAUAAUGGGUCAGCGACUUAUAUUCUGUAGCAAGGUUAACCGAAUAGGGGAGCCGAAGGGAAACCGAGUCUUAACCGGGCGUUAAGUUGCAGGGUAUAGACCCGAAACCCGGUGAUCUAGCCAUGGGCAGGUUGAAGGUUGGGUAACACUAACUGGAGGACCGAACCGACUAAUGUUGAAAAAUUAGCGGAUGACUUGUGGCUGGGGGUGAAAGGCCAAUCAAACCGGGAGAUAGCUGGUUCUCCCCGAAAGCUAUUUAGGUAGCGCCUCGUGAAUUCAUCUCCGGGGGUAGAGCACUGUUUCGGCAAGGGGGUCAUCCCGACUUACCAACCCGAUGCAAACUGCGAAUACCGGAGAAUGUUAUCACGGGAGACACACGGCGGGUGCUAACGUCCGUCGUGAAGAGGGAAACAACCCAGACCGCCAGCUAAGGUCCCAAAGUCAUGGUUAAGUGGGAAACGAUGUGGGAAGGCCCAGACAGCCAGGAUGUUGGCUUAGAAGCAGCCAUCAUUUAAAGAAAGCGUAAUAGCUCACUGGUCGAGUCGGCCUGCGCGGAAGAUGUAACGGGGCUAAACCAUGCACCGAAGCUGCGGCAGCGACACUGUGUGUUGUUGGGUAGGGGAGCGUUCUGUAAGCCUGUGAAGGUG